CGGCGUGCUUAACACAUGCAAGUCGAACGGUAAGGCCCUUUCGGGGGUACACGAGUGGCGAACGGGUGAGUAACACGUGGGUAAUCUGCCCUGCACUUCGGGAUAAGCCUGGGAAACCGGGUCUAAUACCGGAUAUGAGCUCCUGCCGCAUGGUGGGGGUUGGAAAGUUUUUCGGUGCAGGAUGAGUCCGCGGCCUAUCAGCUUGUUGGUGGGGUAAUGGCCUACCAAGGCGACGACGGGUAGCCGGCCUGAGAGGGUGAUCGGCCACACUGGGACUGAGACACGGCCCAGACUCCUACGGGAGGCAGCAGUGGGGAAUAUUGCACAAUGGGCGAAAGCCUGAUGCAGCGACGCCGCGUGGGGGAUGACGGUCUUCGGAUUGUAAACUCCUUUCAGUAGGGACGAAGCGAAAGUGACGGUACCUGCAGAAGAAGCACCGGCCAACUACGUGCCAGCAGCCGCGGUAAUACGUAGGGUGCAAGCGUUGUCCGGAAUUACUGGGCGUAAAGAGCUCGUAGGCGGUUUGUCACGUCGUCUGUGAAAUCCUCCAGCUCAACUGGGGGCGUGCAGGCGAUACGGGCAGACUUGAGUACUACAGGGGAGACUGGAAUUCCUGGUGUAGCGGUGAAAUGCGCAGAUAUCAGGAGGAACACCGGUGGCGAAGGCGGGUCUCUGGGUAGUAACUGACGCUGAGGAGCGAAAGCAUGGGGAGCAAACAGGAUUAGAUACCCUGGUAGUCCAUGCCGUAAACGGUGGGCGCUAGGUG
rnacentral:rRNA from 1 species